rnacentral:rRNA from 1 species
UGGGGAAUAUUGCACAAUGGGGGAAACCCUGAUGCAGCGACGCCGCGUGAACGAAGAAGGUAUUCGUAUCGUAAAGUUCUGUCCUAUGGGAAGAUAAUGACAGUACCAUAGAAGAAAGCUCCGGCUAAAUACGUGCCAGCAGCCGCGGUAAUACGUAUGGAGCGAGCGUUGUCCGGAAUUAUUGGGCGUAAAGGGUACGCAGGCGGUUUAAUAAGUCGAAUGUUAAAGAUCGGGGCUCAACCCCGCAAAGCAUUGGAAACUGAUAAACUUGAGUAGUGGAGAGGAAAGUGGAAUUCCUAGUGUAGUGGUGAAAUACGUAGAUAUUAGGAGGAAUACCAGUAGCGAAGGCGACUUUCUGGACACAAACUGACGCUGGGGUACGAAAGCGUGGGGGGCAAACAGG